UCUUUUUUUAAGUGUCAUUUUUGAGGUUUCGUUAAAAUGUAUUUAACUCAUUUUGCGUUAAAAAUAAAACUAGAAAUACUCAAAUAACCUCAAAAUUUCUAGUUUUAGUUUUUAUAACAUCAGCAGUAAGGCCGGUAAUUCUUAACGAUUUAUAAGAACCCAUCUUGCCCAACAGCUACAAAAAGUAAACUCCCGAGAACAUGAAAUAUCUACUUACUCAAAUUGCGAGUGGAGAUCCAACUCAAAGUUCUGAAUGUCAUUUCAUCCAUCUUUCUGAUCCGCUUCAGUUCUUUUGAAGCGCUAAUAUGAAACAAAAUCGACGAAGACGCAUUAACACAGUUUUAAACUAACACGGCCGUUUUCGAAGACAUCGGCCGCCCCGGCCCCAUCGCGGGCUUUGAACAUGAAAACCGCAUUUGUGAGAAUGAACAUUUCGUAGCUCGUUUUUUGUGGCUAUUUCAAAC